GUACUCACAUUAACAGCACAUAUACUAAGACUGGAAUGUUACAGAGAAGAUUAGUGUGGCCUCCACACAAGUAAGACAUGCAAAUCCAUGAAGUGGUCCAUAAAAAA
ensembl:snRNA U6 U6 spliceosomal RNA